rnacentral:lncRNA from 1 species
CCCAGGUUCACUGAACUCAUAGGCACCCGCACCUCCCCGAUGGCAUCGUUGCGGGAGAACCGAUCAAAGUCAUACACCGCCAUGACCAGCACUCUGCCCCCUAGUUCCACGUAUGGGACCUGGUGAAAGGGAAUACGAAGGGGCGGGUAGGAAAUCAGAGAGGAAGUGGAGGGCAGCAUAUUCAGGUGGAAGUAGAGUGGGGCAGUGAGGUUCCAGUGACCUCAGUAAAGUACAGGGAUCCACAGAAGGAAACCAACGUGUGAACAGAACACAAAUAGUAAUAUACAACGACCAAGGCAAUUGACUGACAGUGCUCUCAGGGAUAACUCUAGGUCCCAAUGAACAGCUUCCCAAACCCUCUACAAGCUGGCAUCUGCGACCUGAGCCGUGUCUUCUUCCAGGAAAAGCUGAAGAGCGCUUCCGGUAGAGACAGAAACAACUGCUGAAGACCAGGAGGCCCGAGCCCAGCACGAUGGUAGCCAGGACCC